CCUAGAGUUGUAGGCUUUGCCUGCUAUCUCUUACCCAUGUCUUUUGAGUACUUACGUUUCCUCGGCGGGUCCGCCCGCCGAUUGGACAAUUUAAACCAUUUGCAGUUGCAAUCAGCGUCUGAAAAACUUUAAUUAGUUA
rnacentral:misc_RNA from 1 species